rnacentral:rRNA from 1 species
AGCAACGCCGCGUGAGGGACGACGGCCUUCGGGUUGUAAACCUCUUUUAGCAGGGAAGAAGCGCAAGUGACGGUACCUGCAGAAAAAGCACCGGCUAACUACGUGCCAGCAGCCGCGGUAAUACGUAGGGUGCAAGCGUUGUCCGGAAUUAUUGGGCGUAAAGAGCUCGUAGGCGGUUUGUCGCGUCUGCUGUGAAAUCCCGAGGCUCAACCUCGGGCCUGCAGUGGGUACGGGCAGACUAGAGUGCGGUAGGGGAGAUUGGAAUUCCUGGUGUAGCGGUGGAAUGCGCAGAUAUCAGGAGGAACACCGAUGGCGAAGGCAGAUCUCUGGGCCGUAACUGACGCUGAGGAGCGAAAGCGUGGGGAGCGAACAGGAUUAGAUACCCUGGUAGUCCACGCCGUAAACGUUGGGAACUAGAUGUGGGGACCAUUCCACGGUCUCCGUGUCGCAGCUAACGCAUUAAGUUCCCCGCCUGGGGAGUACGGCCGCAAGGCUAAAACUCAAAGGAAUUGACGGGGGCCCGCACAAGCGGCGGAGCAUGCGGAUUAAUUCGAUGCAACGCGAAGAACCUUACCAAGGCUUGACAUAUACGAGAACGGGCCAGAAAUGGUCAACUCUUUGGACACUCGU